rnacentral:antisense_RNA from 1 species
CUUGAUCGACCCCAGCCACAGGGGCUCGUCCCGAUCCUGGCCAUAUGUCGCCAGCAGGGCCUGCGCCUC